CCGAAUUGUCAACAAGAGUUGUUGCUGGUCCUCAAAACGGGGGCAUGUGCACGCUCUGUUAACACAUCCAUUCACACCCUGUGCACCCUCUGUAGUUCUGUGGUUGGGGGACCUGUCCUCCUGAUGUGGUUCUGCAUCUUUACACACACACUGUAACAAAGUCUCAUGGAAUGCAUGCCGCGUUUAACGCAAUACAAUA
rnacentral:misc_RNA from 1 species